rnacentral:rRNA from 1 species
AACUUGGAAACAGGUGCUAAUACCGGAUAAGAAAGCAGAUCGCAUGAUCAAGCUUUUAAAAAGGCGGCGUAAGCUGUCGCUAUGGGAUGGCCCGCGGUGCAUUAGCUAGUUGGUAAGGUAAAAGGCUUACCAAGGCGAUGAUGCAUAGCCCGAGUUGAGAGACUGAUCGGGCCACAUUGGGGACUGAGACACGGGGCCCAAACUCCUACGGGGGGAGGGGCAGCAGUAGGGGGAAUCUUCCACAAUGGACGACAAGUCUGAUGGAGCAACGCCGCGUGAGUGAAGUAAGGUUUUCGGAUACGUAAAGCUCUGUUGUUGGUGAAGAAGGAUAGAGGUAGUAACUGGUCCUUUAUUUGACGGUAAUCAACCAGAAAGUCACGGCUAACUACGUGCCAGCAGCCGCGGUAAU